rnacentral:rRNA from 1 species
GACGAACGCUGGCGGCGUGCUUAACACAUGCAAGUCGAACGGAAAGGCCCUGCUUUUGUGGGGUGCUCGAGUGGCGAACGGGUGAGUAACACGUGAGUAACCUGCCCUUGACUUUGGGAUAACUUCAGGAAACUGGGGCUAAUACCGGAUAGGAGCUCCUGCUGCAUGGUGGGGGUUGGAAAGUUUCGGCGGGUGGGGAUGGACUCGCGGCUUAUCAGCGUGUUGGUGGGGUAGUGGCUUACCAAGGCUUUGACGGGUAGCCGGCCUGAGAGGGUGACCGGCCACAUUGGGACUGAGAUGCGGCCCAGACUCCUGCGGGGGGCCACAGUGGGAUAUAUUGCACAAUGGGCGGAAGCCUGGUGCAGCAACGCCGCGUGCGGGAUGACGGCCCUCGGGUUGUAAACCGCUUUCGCCUGUGACGAAGCGUGAGUGACGGUAAUGGGUAAAGAAGCACCGGCUAACUACGUG